CAGACUAUACUUUCAGGGAUCAUUUCAAUAGUUUCUGACUUGAGAAAUGUGUUUCUAAAGUGUUUGGUCUCGCUAACCACAAUGAAGAGUUGUGAUAUUCCCUUCUGAGCAUGAAGCUGACAGAGAGUCAUGAUUCACUUCAUAUCUUCUCUGUCAUUGAUGAUUGUUCUGCUCUUCUCCAUGAAGUACUGAGGAAGGGCAUAUGAUCAGAGUGGAU
ensembl:snoRNA